rnacentral:misc_RNA from 1 species
AAAAUUGCAACUCUGUUUUUUGAGGGCGGUGCAUGAGACCUUGGUUCGGAGGAGGAUGGGGUUGGCACUGGCAAGGCCUCUGAAAAUUGGCCUCAGUCGAUCGGUGGUUGUUGGUUGACGUGAGACAACGUCCCAUCCUGCCGCUUACUGCUUGACUGGAUUCAUUGGGGGGGGGAGCCAUUGGAUUCCUCCAUUCUUGUUGUUGGAGAGGGUUGAAUUCAAUACCUUUCGAAAUCCACCAUCUUGACCGACGAAUAAAGUGGGAAAUUGUUAUAUUAGUUUGGUGUCCCAAGUUUUCUGUGUGUGUGCUAGAUUCCGCCAUUGUGGUGUGUGUGUGUGUUGGGGGCCAACUACCGUGUGGAUUUUAAAUUUUUCUGGUUUUAAAAAAGCCACUCGUCUUCCAUUCUGCCACUGGUCGUUCAUUUCGAGUUUGUCGAUUAAAAAGAAAAAGAAGAACCGACCGAAGAAACAACAGGCCCAAAGAUGUGGAAACGGACAGUUUGGAUACGGACGGAUUCGAAUGCGGCGAAUGGACACAAAUGACCUUCGUCUCUACCUGAGAAGCGCCACCACCAGAGAUCCUAUUCCGUUCAAGGGAGUAGGAGGUGGGCUCUAGUGUUAGGAAACAAGACACAGAAGAAGAAGACAACAAAAAAUUGCCUAAAUUCCAAAUUGGGGAUAUCACGGAAACAACAACCAACAACGGUCGUCCUCUCUCUACGCUCAACAACACCCAAAGAAAAAAAAGCAAAAAUCUUCGCAUCUAUCUCCUUUUUUUGACCAACCAACCGACUCAGACAUGGCCAGCAAAGAGAACGCGGUGGCCCUGGUCGACCCACACCAACUGGCCUCGGUGAUCCGCAGCAGCCGCUUAGACAAGGUGUUAAUUGUAGACAGCCGGAGUUUCCUCGAGUACAACGAUCUUCACAUCCAGGGCGCUGUCAAUGUUUGCUGCUCCAAAUUGGUCAAACGGAGACUCCAGCAAGACAAGGUUUGCGUCCGAGAUUUCCUGCUGCAAAAUUGCCGUUUGGAACGUGGACUGGUCGAGUACGAAAAUGGCGAUGUCAUCGUUUACGACCAGUCAUCUGUCAGCACGGCCUCGGUCAGCCCCGACUCGUUCCUCCACGUCCUGCUCCACAAAUUGAUCCACGUCUUCCGGCGGGUCUUUCUCCUGUCGGGCGGAUUCCUCGAGUUCCAGGCCUGUUACGGCGAUUUGUGCGAGGACAAGUCGCGAUUGCUGCGAUCCUCUUCGUCGACCCUGCACAACAUGACGUCAUUAUCCCAGCCGUGCCUGCCAAUCACCAACGUCGGACCCACCAGGAUCCUCCCGUUUCUCUACCUGGGCUCCCAGCAAGACGCUCACAAUCAGGAACUUCUUUCGGAUUUCAACAUCACGUACGAAGUGAAUGUGAGCACCAACUGCCCCAAACCGGAUUUCAUCCAAGAUAGCCACUUUCUACGAUUGCCAGUCAACGACUCUUAUGGCGAAAAGUUAUUACCUUAUUUCGUUCGAGCUACUCAAUUUAUCGAUAAAGUCCGUGAAACCAACGGUUCAGUGUUGGUCCACUGCCUGGCCGGUAUCUCCCGCUCGCCCACGGUGGCCAUCGCUUACGUCAUGCGCCACUUGCAGAUGACGUUUGACGACGCGUUCCGCUACGUCAAAUCGAAACGCUCGUCCAUUUCGCCCAAUUUCAAUUUCCUCGGCCAACUGCUCGAGUACGAACGGCAAUUGAGGGCGGAGGAGGUGCUGGACUCUAGCGUCGGCGACGUCACCAACUGCCUGCAGCCGUCGUCGCAACCGAUGACGUCGUCGCGCUGCUCGUCGUCGUCCACGACGACAACGUCGACCAGUCCGGCGCCGGGCAGAGAGCGCUGCCUAUCGCGUUCCAUUUCGCUGUCGUUGUCGCUCAAGACUCCCGCCCUGGAAACGGUUCCGCACAGUUGCAGUCCCAGUCCGUCGUCGGAUCACCUCCUGCAGAAUCCGUUUGGAUUCGCCGAACUGGUCGUCGAUGAAGUUGACGGAUCGACGACCACCAAAACUCGCCCGAUUUUGACGGCUGAUCUCUCACCGACCACGGCCCUGUCCCGGCUCUCGUUCGAGGCGCUGGAAGCGGCCGCUGCCGCUUCCGGCCAACUGUCACCCCCGCCGGAAGACUCUGAAAUCAAGGAAACCUCGUCGUCCUCUUAUCUGAUGGUCUCGAGGCGGAAGAACCACACCCGCGAGGAGACGUACCGGUCGCUGCGCCAGCGGAUGUCGAACUCGUCGGUAUCGAGCAGCACGGAAAUGAGUCACAGUUAUUACAGCAGCAAACAAAAGACGGAAACGACCAGCAGUCGCUCCUCCUCCUCGAUGGUCUUGACCGUCAGCCAGAGCCAACGGGUCCAGUCGUCCAGUUCUUCCGUCAGCCCGCUGGCAACAGCGUCAGCCACUCCUGCGGCUGCCACCACCAUUCAAGUACCGACGGCAACGGCCAAUCAAGGCCGGAAUCAUCGAUGGAAACUCUCGCCGAUGGAGCCGUCGUCGCCUUCGUCCCAUUGCUCGGAAAUUUCGGUGCAAAUUGAAGAAUCCAAGGCCGCCAAAGGAUCGGCUUCCGUCCAGUCGAAGGAGGAAGCGGCCGAACAAGUUGACAAUAGCGAACAAGUGGACGAGGAAGCGGAGCAAGUCGAAAUCCGCCGACGCGGUCCCAGUUUCCCCCGCCCGCACUCGGAUACCGGCGGCCGGAGUUUCCAUCGCGGCCACCACCACAUCCAUCACCCGCUGCACCACACCCGCUCGGUGCCGAGGCGGCCCAGUUACGCCCCCAGCGAAACUUGUUACUCUCCCAUUUCGGAUGAGAUGCUGAUGCCGCCCACUCCGUCGUCACCUCCACCUCCGUCCAAUAGCAGCAGCAGCAGUUGCAGUAGUCACCACUUGAUGGGUGGUCUACUCAGCCCCCAGGGUAUCUCUAGUAGUAAUAGCGUGAGCGGCGCCUGGGGCGUGGUCAGUCCCGGCCUCUACGCUCGCUCCGACUCUGUCACCACUUCCGGACUGGGAUCGGAAAUAUCCGACAGCGAAAUGGGUCAGUCCAGGGCCGAUUUGGACGCCCUGAGCCUUUGCAGCGGAAUGAGCGGGACGCUGAGAGGAGGAGGCGGAAGCAUCGCCGGAUUGGGUUUUCUCGAAUCCGAAACGGAUUUCUCUUCGCUGCCGCCGGAUGACGGAGUCUUCACUGAACCGCUUUUCCUUCCGCCACCUCCUCCCGUUCGGCUGCAACCGCCACCUCGCGGCGGAUCUGCUCGCCCCUCACGUCCGUCUUCACUCCUGGGAAUCACUCCAGCGCGGGAUUUGGAAUGGAAACCAUCGCCGAGUAACAGUAGCGCUAGUGCGGAUUGCAUGACGUCACUGGACACUUCGCCUGGAUUCAAUAUAUUUCCGUCACUACGCAAAGCCCGUCCCACAUCGCUAUUGAAUCCAUUAGAUCCUUUGGCGUCAUCUGGACCGUCUGCAACGUUGGGAGAUUUAUCCGCACCGACAAGUCUCUCUUCCGGACAAGAUUCCGGCCUACAACCAGGUGAAGAUGAUGUGAUGCCAGACAGUGCAACUGUAUUCCGAUUGUGGCGACAGCGGGAAUUGGAACAGCAAUUAGUUGACAGGUCGGUCGCAAAAAGACGCAGUCCCUCCAUCUGAUGACUUCGAUUUCUCUCCCCCCCCACCCCUCCUCUUUCCUAUUAAAAUAUCUUCAAUUAGUUUUACUACAUUUUGUCCCCCGACACCUUGGCCAUCGCCGAUCCUUUCACACAAUUUCGGCUGUUAUAUAAUCCCGCAGUUAUUUCAUUUUUAAACCCCCAAAAAGACCCCCCCAACCCAAAUGAAAAGAGGAGCAAAAUUGACACACACAGAGAGAAUCAAAAAGAUCGAAAAAUUGAUGAGGAAAGAGGUCCAGUGAGUCAACUGUUUCGUUAUCCGCCCGUCGCCGGAGCAGCAAAGAAAUUGUGACGCCGGCCGGCCGACACCAGCCAGCGAUGGCUACCGAGAGUAGCAGCAGCACUUGUAGUAAUAGUAGUAAUAGUAGUUCAACCUCAACUUCGACUACUUCAGUCUCCAGCAAACGGAAAAGCA